UGUUCUUCAUUUUUCCUCUCACACCUGCAACCUUCCUUCUUCCUCUCACGACGACCUCCCUACGAAAUUUCACAGAGACUUAAAGCGGCGUUCCAUCUUUGUAACGUCUCAACCAUCCAUUAAUCUGUUCUUUACUCUGAGUUUUUCCUUGAUUAUUCCACUCCUCCCGCGUUUCAUUUAUUCCUCAUCACCACCUUUUUCAGCUUCUUCACACUCAUUCACCUAUAAAUAGUCAUUUCCGUCACCAUGAAUCUCAAAAAAGCGUUGUGACUCUCCUCUCCACAAAUGGCCAAAAAACUAUCCAAACCAUGACGGCUUCCCAACUAUCGCUCUCUGCAUUGAAUCGUUGUAAUGGCGACAAUUGUCACACGGCUGCUCCCUUUUUGGGAAGCACGGAAUGUGAAGAAAGGCGUUGAAGAAGCUGGGAUGAUGAGUACUGAAUCCUUACUAAACAACUUCUUAAGUGUUUUUCCUUACUUCCCGUUAAAAGCUCAAUUUUUAGGUCUUUUUGUUUGCUGUUAGAAAGAUUGAACCUUACGUCUAGGGAUUGAUUCAUAUAGGCUGAGAUUUAUGUGUAGAAGACCAAAAGAAUGAUCUUUCAAAAUCAAAGCUUUGAUUCUUCUGCUGACAAUGCGUUAUCUCAAAUAUUUUCUCUACAUAUAAUGUCUAACAAGAGUUUUGACCAAAAAAAAUAAUGUCUAACAAGAGAAAGUGGUGAAGACAAAUCGUGAUACCACUAUGAACAGUUCAAAAGUGAUCGAUCAGGUUCACUGAUUCGGUAGAGACAACAAGUGAUCAUUCUGGAGAAAGCAAGACAAGAUUUAGAAACACUGAGGGAAUACAUCUUUUCACGGCUGAUGAAAGAGCUCCAAGUUACUGAUUUGUGGAAGCUGCUGCAAACUUAUUCCCCAGGGUUAUAUGCAUGAGUGUGUUGACAGCAACGGUUUUUAAGUUCUGUGUAUCAAGGACACUCUCUACUCCCGAUGAGAAUAAUGCUAUGCUUUUACAGCUUAGUGACUCCUUCUUUAAAGCCGCCGCAGAUCAAUAUGCUCAAUACGUAUGCCGUUUCGUCAGAUGUACAACUUAAUGUUGUUCUAUAUCAGUGAAAACACUUAAGCUAACAGCUACAACAUUCACGAAGCAACUUCAUGCAAUGGUCAAGGAAAAGUCACCUCCAUCGGCUAGAAACCAAGCUCCAGCUCCGACAGAGUGAUAACAAGCGUUCAAAGCAUCUUCCUUACGAACUCCACUGCUUGGUCGCAAAUAGUCAGGGAACAACCAGUGGCUGGAAAAAACAUCGAAAGUUGGUCAUGGUUAAUGAGGAGUUUUUAAGACCACAACCCUGCACAGCUACGAGAGCCACUAAAGGUUCACUUUCACUACUUUGUAUCACCAUGCUGACGCACAGUUGAUUGGUUAUAAUCAAACCUUCACCAACUUCAAAUUGUAAUAUUGUAGAGCCUUUGGGAAAGACUGCUCGCGCAGCUCACCAAGAGAUCCAAGCACAUAAAAGAAAUGGUGGUUUCCAACAAGUUUAUUGUGGAUUAUGUCACUGUUUUCAGAUAUCAUUGAACUCAGCGUAGCAUCUAUUACGUAAUGUUUCUUUUAGAUUUGUAAAACUGGAAACGCACCCUGACAUUUAAAAUAUUGGUGACUAAAUCUAGGUUCAAAUAAAAAG